rnacentral:rRNA from 1 species
AGGAUUAACGCUGGCGGCGUGCCUAACACAUGCAAGUCGAACGAGGUAGCAAUACCUAGUGGCAGACGGGUGAGUAACGCGUGGUCAACCUACCUCUUAGUGGGGGAUAACUAGCCGAAAGGUUAGCUAAUACCGCAUACGAUCGUCGCGAGGCAUCUCGUGACGAUGAAAGGAGCAAUUCGCUAAGAGAGGGGACUGCGUCCCAUUAGUUAGUUGGUGGGGUAAUGGCCCACCAAGACUCCGAUGGGUAGCUGGCUUGAGAGAGCGACCAGCCACACUGGAACUGAGACACGGUCCAGACUCCUACGGGAGGCAGCAGUGAGGAAUUUUCCGCAAUGGGCGCAAGCCUGACGGAGCGACGCCGCGUGUGGGAAGAAGGCCUUCGGGUCGUAAACCACUGUCGAAGGGGACGAUAUUGACGGUACCCUUGGAGGAAGCCCCGGCUAACUACGUGCCAGCAGCCGC